rnacentral:rRNA from 1 species
UACGGGGGGUGCGAGCGUUGUCCGGAAUCACUGGGCGUAAAGGGCGCGUAGGUGGUUUGAUAAGGGUGUGGUGAAAGCCCGGGGCUCAACCCCGGGUCUGCCGUGCCGACUGUCAAACUCGAGGGCUGUAGAGGCAGACGGAAUUCCGGGUGUAGCGGUGGAAUGCGUAGAGAUCCGGAGGAAGACCGGUGGCGAAGGCGGUCUGCUGGGCAGUUUCUGACACUGAGGCGCGACAGCGUGGGGAGCAAACAGGG